UACGUAGGGUGCGAGCGUUGUCCGGAAUUAUUGGGCGUAAAGAGCUCGUAGGCGGCCUGUUGCGUCCGCUGUGAAAUCCCGGGGCUCAACCCCGGGCCUGCAGUGGAUACGGGCUGGCUAGAGGCAGGCAGGGGAGAACGGAAUUCCUGGUGUAGCGGUGAAAUGCGCAGAUAUCAGGAGGAACACCGGUGGCGAAGGCGGGUCUCUGGGAAACAACUGACGCUGAGGAACGAAAGCGUGGGUAGCAAACAGG
rnacentral:rRNA from 1 species